rnacentral:rRNA from 1 species
UACGUAGGGUGCAAGCGUUAAUCGGAAUUACUGGGCGUAAAGCGUGCGCAGGCGGCUUUGCAAGACAGAUGUGAAAUCCCCGGGCUUAGCCUGGGAACUGCAUUUGUGACUGCAUGGCUAGAGUGCGGCAGAGGGGGAUGGAAUUCCGCGUGUAGCAGUGAAAUGCGUAGAUAUGCGGAGGAACACCGAUGGCGAAGGCAAUCCCCUGGGCCUGCACUGACGCUCAUGCACGAAAGCGUGGGGAGCAAACAGG